GACGAAUGUUGGCGGCGUGCUUAACACAUGCAAGUCGAACGGACUGGCCCUGCUCUUGUGGGGUGCUCGAGUGGCGAAAGGGUGAGUAACACGUGAGUAACCUGCCCUUGACUUUGGGUAAACUUCAGGAAACCGGGGCCAAUACCGGAUAGGUGCUCCUGCUGCAUGGAGGGGGUUGGAAAGUUUCGGCGGCUGGGGAUGGACCCGCGGCUUAUCAGCUUGUUGGUGGUGUAGUGGCUUACCAACGCUUUGACGGGUAGCCGGCCUGAGAGGGUGACCGGCCACAGUGGGGCUGGAAGACGUGCCAUACUCCUUCGGGGGGCAGCAGUGGGUAGUUUUGCACAGUGGGCGGAAGCCUGAUGCAGCAACGCCGCGUGCGGGAUGACGGCCUUCGGGUUGUAUACCGCUUUCGCCUGUGACGAAGCAGAAGAGGCGGGAAUGUGUAGAGGAGGACCGGCUAGCUAAGUG
rnacentral:rRNA from 1 species